rnacentral:lncRNA from 1 species
UGAUUCUUCCUCUGUGUAUGGCUGUUUGGUUUGUUGUUUACACUGUAAUUAUGGUGUAUGGGUUUGUAUUUAAGUUUUGAAAUAUGAUCACCUUCUUCAAAGCUUUGGCAUGAAGCUAUGAUAAAGUUAGGGGUUUUAAACUGUGAGUAAGGAAAAAUAAUUUAGAAUUUUGCAGUUUUUUUUGUUUUAAAAAUGUAUCAGUGUUUUUGUUGUUUGAAAAAUGUUUCAAUAUUUUUGUUUUAAA